rnacentral:rRNA from 1 species
UCCGGGGGGGGCAAGCGUUGUUCGGAAUUACUGGGCGUAAAGGGUUCGUAGGUUGCUCGCUAAGUCAGACGUGAAAUCCCUCAGCUUAACUGGGGAACUGCGUCUGAGACUGGCAAGCUUGAGUGCAGGAGAGGAACGCGGAAUUCCCAGUGUAGAGGUGAAAUUCGUAGAUAUUGGGAAGAACACCGGUGGCGAAGGCGGCGACCUGGUCCGACACUGACGCUGAGGCGCGAAAGCGUGGGGAGCAAACAGG